rnacentral:rRNA from 1 species
CCUACGGGGGGCAGCAGUCGAGAAUCAUUCACAAUGGGGGAAACCCUGAUGGUGCGACGCCGCGUGGGGGAAUGAAGGUCUUCGGAUUGUAAACCCCUGUCAUGUGGGAGCAAAUUAAAAAGAUAGUACCACACGAGGAAGAGACUGCUAACUCUGUGCCAGCAGCCGCGGUAAUACAGAGGUCUCAAGCGUUGUUCGGAAUCACUGGGCGUAAAGCGUGCGUAGGCUGUUUCGUAAGUCGUGUGUGAAAGGCGCGGGCUCAACCCGCGGACGGCACAUGAUACUGCGAGACUAGAGUAAUGGAGGGGGAACCGGAAUUCUCGGUGUAGCAGUGAAAUGCGUAGAUAUCGAGAGGAACACUCGUGGCGAAGGCGGGUUCCUGGACAGUAACUGACGCUGAGGCACGAAGGCCAGGGGAGCGAAAGGGAUUAGAUACCCGGGUAGUC